rnacentral:rRNA from 1 species
CUUUGGACAAUGGUAGGAGAGCGUUCUAAGGGCGUUGAAGCAUGAUCGUAAGGACAUGUGGAGCGCUUAGAAGUGAGAAUGCCGGUGUGAGUAGCGAAAGACGGGUGAGAAUCCCGUCCACCGAUUGACUAAGGUUUCCAGAGGAAGGCUCGUCCGCUCUGGGUUAGUCGGGUCCUAAGCUGAGGCCGACAGGCGUAGGCGAUGGAUAACAGGUUGAUAUUCCUGUACCACCUAUAAUCGUUUUAAUCGAUGGGGGGACGCAGUAGGAUAGGCGAAGCGUGCGAUUGGAUUGCACGUCUAAGCAGUAAGGCUGAGUAUUAGGCAAAUCCGGUACUCGUUAAGGCUGAGCUGUGAUGGGGAGAAGACAUUGUGUCUUCGAGUCGUUGAUUUCACACUGCCGAGAAAAGCCUCUAGAUAGAAAAUAGGUGCCCGUACCGCAAACCGACACAGGUAGUCAAGAUGAGAAUUCUAAGGUGAGCGAGCGAACUCUCGUUAAGGAACUCGGCAAAAUGACCCCGUAACUUCGGGAGAAGGGGUGCUCUUUAGGGUUAACGCCCAGAAGAGCCGCAGUGAAUAGGCCCAAGCGACUGUUUAUCAAAAACACAGGUCUCUGCUAAACCGUAAGGUGAUGUAUAGGGGCUGACGCCUGCCCGGUGCUGGAAGGUUAAGAGGAGUGGUUAGCUUCUGCGAAGCUACGAAUCGAAGCCCCAGUAAACGGCGGCCGUAACUAUAACGGUCCUAAGGUAGCGAAAUUCCUUGUCGGGUAAGUUCCGACCCGCACGAAAGGCGUAACGAUUUGGGCACUGUCUCAACGAGAGACUCGGUGAAAUCAUAGUACCUGUGAAGAUGCAGGUUACCCGCGACAGGACGGAAAGACCCCGUGGAGCUUUACUGUAGCCUGAUAUUGAAAUUCGGCACAGCUUGUACAGGAUAGGUAGGAGCCUUUGAAACGUGAGCGCUAGCUUACGUGGAGGCGCUGGUGGGAUACUACCCUAGCUGUGUUGGCUUUCUAACCCGCACCACUUAUCGUGGUGGGAGACAGUGUCAGGCGGGCAGUUUGACUGGGGCGGUCGCCUCCUAAAAGGUAACGGAGGCGCUCAAAGGUUCCCUCAGAAUGGUUGGAAAUCAUUCAUAGAGUGUAAAGGCAUAAGGGAGCUUGACUGCGAGACCUACAAGUCGAGCAGGGUCGAAAGACGGACUUAGUGAUCCGGUGGUUCCGCAUGGAAGGGCCAUCGCUCAACGGAUAAAAGCUACCCCGGGGAUAACAGGCUUAUCUCCCCCAAGAGUUCACAUCGACGGGGAGGUUUGGCACCUCGAUGUCGGCUCAUCGCAUCCUGGGGCUGUAGUCGGUCCCAAGGGUUGGGCUGUUCGCCCAUUAAAGCGGUACGCGAGCUGGGUUCAGAACGUCGUGAGACAGUUCGGUCCCUAUCCGUCGUGGGCGUAGGAAAUUUGAGAGGAGCUGUCCUUAGUACGAGAGGACCGGGAUGGACAUACCUCUGGUGUACCAGUUGUCGUGCCAACGGCAUAGCUGGGU